rnacentral:rRNA from 1 species
AACGAACGCUGGCGGCAUGCCUAACACAUGCAAGUCGAACGAGAUCUUCGGGUCUAGUGGCGCACGGGUGCGUAACGCGUGGGAAUCUGCCCUUUGGUUCGGAAUAACAGUUGGAAACGACUGCUAAUACCGGAUGAUGACGAAAGUCCAAAGAUUUAUCGCCAGAGGAUAAGCCCGCGUAGGAUUAGCUAGUUGGUGUGGUAAAGGCGCACCAAGGCGACGAUCCUUAGCUGGUCUGAGAGGAUGAUCAGCCACACUGGACUGAGACACGGCCCAGACUCCUACGGGAGGCAGCAGUGGGGAAUAUUGGACAAUGGGCGAAAGCCUGAUCCAGCAAUGCCGCGUGAGUGAUGAAGGCCUUAGGGUUGUAAAGCUCUUUUACCCGGGAUGAUAAUGACAGUACCGGGAGAAUAAGCUCCGGCUAACUCCGUGCCAGCAGCCGCGGUAA